AGUGAGCGCUGGCGGUAGGCCUAACACAUGCAAGUCGAACGGCAGCACAGUAAGAGCUUGCUCUUACGGGUGGCGAGUGGCGGACGGGUGAGGAAUACAUCGGAAUCUACUUUUUCGUGGGGGAUAACGUAGGGAAACUUACGCUAAUACCGCAUACGACCUACGGGUGAAAGCAGGGGAUCUUCGGACCUUGCGCGAUUGAAUGAGCCGAUGUCGGAUUAGCUAGUUGGCGGGGUAAAGGCCCACCAAGGCGACGAUCCGUAGCUGGUCUGAGAGGAUGAUCAGCCACACUGGAACUGAGACACGGUCCAGACUCCUACGGGAGGCAGCAGUGGGGAAUAUUGGACAAUGGGCGCAAGCCUGAUCCAGCCAUACCGCGUGGGUGCAGAAGGCCUUCGGGUUGUAAAGCCCUUUUGUUGGGAAAGAAAAGCAGCAGGUUAAUACCCCGCUGUUCUGACGGUACCCAAAGAAUAAGCACCGGCUAACUUCGUG
rnacentral:rRNA from 1 species